rnacentral:rRNA from 1 species
AACGGCCAUACCAUGCUGAAUAUACCGGUUCUCGUUAGAUCACCGAAGUCAAGCAUUAUUGGGCGCGGUCAGUACUUGGGUGGGUGAACCACCUGGGAACACCGCGUGCCGUU